GGUUAAGCGACUAAGCGUACACGGUGGAUGCCCUGGCAGUCAGAGGCGAUGAAGGACGUGCUAAUCUGCGAUAAGCGUCGGUAAGGUGAUAUGAACCGUUAUAACCGGCGAUUUCCGAAUGGGGAAACCCAGUGUGAUUCGUCACACUAUCGUUAACUGAAUACAUAGGUUAACGAAGCGAACCGGGGGAACUGAAACAUCUAAGUACCCCGA
rnacentral:rRNA from 1 species